GUCCUUUCGGGGAGCCCGGAGACAGGUGCUGCAUGGCUGUCGUCAGCUCGUGUCGUGAGAUGUUGGGUUAAGUCCCGCAACGAGCGCAACCCUCGUCGUGUGUUAUACGUGUCACACGAUACUGCCGGUAUCAAGCCGGAGGAAGGUGGGAUGAUGUCAAGUCAGCAUGGCCUUUAUAUCCUGGGCUACACACACGCUACAAUGGCAGAUACAAUAGGUCGCUAAACCGCGAGGUGGAGCCAAUCCUCAAAGUCUGUCUCAGUUCAGAUUGUAGGCUGCAACUCGCCUGCAUGAAGUCGGAGUUGCUAGUAAACGCAGGUCAGCUAUACUGCGUUGAAUACGUUCCCGGGGUUU
rnacentral:rRNA from 1 species